AGAGGGUGACACUCCCGUCCGCCUGGCAGAGUGAGCCAUUUGUCAACGAGUCGAGUUGUUUGGGAUUGCAGCUCUAAUUUGGUGGUAAAUUCCAUCUAAAGCUAAAUAUUAGUGGGAGACCGAUAGCGUACAAGUACCGUGAGGGAAAGAUGCAAAGAACUUUGAAAAGAGAGUUAAAGGGUACCUGAAAUUGCUGAAACGGAAGCGAAGGAAACCAGUGUUUGUUGGUUCAUAUUUCCUUGGCCACUUGUGGUUUGGGCGCUGUGAGCUUGCGUGGGUUUGGGUUGGUUGAUCCCUUUGGAAGAGCGCAGUCAGAGUUGAUGUCU
rnacentral:rRNA from 1 species